GCCUGCAAUCAGAAUGCAACAAGUUGAAUAGCACCGAAUAUUAGGAUUUGACUCUUGCGAAAACUGCUCGCGCGUAUUGUCUCUGGUGUUCAGAACGGCAAGAAGAGGAGAAGUUAAAGCGAUAGGAGGAGCAAAUAAAAAAAUUACUAAUGAAGAAACAGAGACACAGUAAAGAUACAAUCGACUUUUUCAGACACAUCACCCGCACAAAUAUAAAACGAAAUGUGCGCGAAAUGUUGCUUUAUUGGCAACAAAAUUAAAUACCUCGAUGACAACCAAAUAGAUGAACCAUCAGUUUCCCAGUUAAGCCAUCAAUGACGGACCAUUCUGUACGAUAGCAUACUGACAAAACAAAUUAGUUGCAAACAUAAAAAUGAAUCCGCUUUGAGGAACAAAAUACCACAGGAAGAGAAUCAGUUCAAGCGGGAUUGUAUUAUGCAAAAGGGAUGGAUUUUCGACCUAUCGAACGCAGAAGGAAUAACAACCCACGGGCGGCGUCUUGAUAACGUACAACAUAAUCUACGUUAAAAGCAAGUGUACCUGGCUCGCGUCCGCAGCUUCUGUGUCUACCAGUCGGAAU